GAGGCGUUAGCUCAGUUGGUAGAGCAUCUCCCUUUUAAGGAGGUGGUCCUGGGUUCGAGUCCCAGACGCCUCA
rnacentral:tRNA from 1 species